UAAUACGGAGGGGGCGAGUGUUGUUCGGAAUUACUGGGCGUAAAGGGCGCGCAGGCGGCCUGGCAAGUCGAGUGUGAAAUCCCUUGGCUUAACUGAGGAAUGGCGCUCGAAACUACCUCGCUGGAGGGCGGGAGAGGGAAGUGGAACUCUCGGUGUAGGGGUGAAAUCUGUAGAUAUCGAGAGGAACACCGGUGGCGAAGGCGGCUUCCUGGCCCGUACCUGACGCUGAGGCGCGAAAGCGUGGGGAGCAAACAGGAUUAGAUACCCUGGUAGUCCACGCCGUAAACGAUGGAUGCUAGCCGUUGGCAGGCUUGCCUGUCAGUGGCGCAGCUAACGCAUUAAGCAUCCCGCCUGGGGAGUACGGUCGCAAGAUUA
rnacentral:rRNA from 1 species